UUCAGAGGAUCCAACACCUUCACACAGACAUACAUGCAGGCAAGACCAUAAUGCACAUGAGAUAAAAAUAAAUAGCAAAAAUUAUGGGGGAAAAGUCAUAGUUUAAAUAGAGCUUGUCUAAUUGGCAGAACCUUGCUGUAAAAAUAGGUGUCUUUAAUUACUGUGCCACCAUACCAGUUGGGCAAGAAAGAAAAACAUUGCAGAUUGGAGAAAUAGGUAAAAGUUCGCUCAUGAAAUGGAUCCUGAGAGUUGCGUAGAACUGGGUACCCUGUGCUGGCCACUGCUACCUCUGUAGCCAAGAAACUGAUUAUGAGUGUUUUAGAAGCUUCUCGAGCAGAGUGAUAUGGGCAUGCCGCACGUGUACAUGUGGAGGUCAGAAAUCAAGUUGCAAUAAGCGCUCUCCUACUCUCCCCUCUGCCAAGGUGUGUGUGAACCAGAGCUUAUUGAACUCAGGUCGUCAGGCUUAGCCAUUUCUGCCCCACCGCUGGUGAGUUCUGAUGGCUGUUGGAGUUUUGGAGAUAAACAUCUUCCCUACAAAAACUUGAAGUGACUAAAAUUACACUGUAGCGGUAAAUAUUUAGAGUUCGCUCUACGCUCCUGGCAGGUGCACGCGUGGCUCUGCACCCACCCAAGAGCUCGGGAUUCGAAAAUGAAACACAUGCGCUCGCGCUAUUUUUGAAUAUGCCUUGCUAACUCAACGGCUGGGUUUCGCCCUAGCUCCCUGUGGCUAACCCACUUUCCCCCUCCGAUAUUCCUGAGUUAACACCUUUUUAAAAUCUAUAUUUCAUCUCUGCUACCCCAGACCCAAUCGGGGAAGUGGUCCCUGGUGCCACAUUCCUGGAUUCUUACAUGUCCGGGGGCUCUUAUGUCUAAUCUCUCUUCUUCCCCAUCUCCUUCUGCCUCCUGCGUUUCUUGCCCUGGUAUUCUAA
rnacentral:lncRNA from 1 species